CAAGCCGCGCAGGCGACCCUCUCGAGGG
rnacentral:rRNA from 1 species